rnacentral:rRNA from 1 species
UACGGGGGGAGCAAGCGUUGUUCGGAUUUACUGGGCGUAAAGGGCGCGUAGGCGGCCAGCACAAGUCAGUUGUGAAAUCCCUCGGCUUAACCGGGGAACUGCGUCUGAUACUGGAUGGCUUGAGUUCGGGAGAGGGAUGCGGAAUUCCAGGUGUAGCGGUGAAAUGCGUAGAUAUCUGGAGGAACACCGGUGGCGAAGGCGGCAUCCUGGACCGAAACUGACGCUGAGGAGCGAAAGCCAGGGGAGCAAACGGG